AGAUGUGAGGGCAAUCUGGCUUCAACAUGUGUCACCCCACUGAUUACCAGGGUUGUUGAUUCAGCUGAUCUGGCUGGCUAGGCAGGUGUCCUCUUCCUCCCUUGCUGCUCCAUAUGUGUCCCUCCCAAAGCUGCGUGCUCAGUCAAAGAGGACGACCACCUCGGAUAGAGGAGGACCAUUUCCUCAGUCAAGGUAUGCGAAUAUCUGCGCUCCCCUUCUAGAACCUCCAAACAAGCUCUCAGAAUGGGAGAAAAUCUUCACCAGCUACUCUUCU
rnacentral:snRNA from 1 species